rnacentral:rRNA from 1 species
ACGGGAGGCAGCAGUGGGGAAUAUUGCACAAUGGGGGAAACCCUGAUGCAGCAACGCCGCGUGAGUGAAGAAGUAUUUCGGUAUGUAAAGCUCUAUCAGCAGGGAAGAUAAUGACGGUACCUGACUAAGAAGCACCGGCUAAAUACGUGCCAGCAGCCGCGGUAAUACGUAUGGUGCAAGCGUUAUCCGGAUUUACUGGGUGUAAAGGGUGCGUAGGUGGCAUGGUAAGUCAGAUGUGAAAUACCGGGGCUCAACCCCGGGGCUGCAUUUGAAACUGCCAGGUUGGAGUACAGGAGAGGCAAGCGGAAUUCCUAGUGUAGCGGUGAAAUGCGCAGAUAUUAGGAGGAACACCAGUGGCGAAGGCGGCUUGCUGGACUGUUACUGACACUGAGGCACGAAAGCGUGGGGAGCAAACAGGAUUAGAUACCCUGGUA